GCACAACGCGAAGAACCUUACCCGGGCUUGAAAUGCAUCUGACAGGAGCAGAGACGCUCUCUCCCUUCGGGGCAGAUGUGUAGGUGCUGCAUGGUUGUCGUCAGCUCGUGCCGUGAGGUGUCGGCUUAAGUGCCAUAACGAGCGCAACCCUCAUCAUUAGUUACCAUCAGGUUAAGCUGGGGACUCUAAUGAGACUGCCAUCGUAAGAUGUGAGGAAGGUGGGGAUGACGUCAAAUCAGCACGGCCCUUACGUCCGGGGCGACACACGUGUUACAAUGGAUGGUACAAAGGGCAGCUACAUGGCGACAUGAUGCUAAUCUCCAAAACCAUUCUCAGUUCGGAUCGAAGUCUGCAACUCGACUUCGUGAAGCUGGAUUCGCUAGUAAUCGCGCAUCAGCCACGGCGCGGUGAAUACGUUCCCGGGUCUUGUACACACCGGAGGUCGGUGGGGGAGGGCGAAGGGGCACGACAGGGGGGGAUA
rnacentral:rRNA from 1 species